GGGGGGGGGGGGGGGGGGGCGGGGGGGGUGGGGGGGGGGCGGGGGGGCGGGCGGGGGCGUGUGGAUUGCGGGGGCUCGAGUGGCGAACGGGGGAGGGACACGUGAGUGAUCGGCCCCCGACUUGGGUAGCAGCCAGGGGAACGGGGUGGAAUCACCGAUAGGCCUGCCGGGGGGGGCCGGACGUGGACAACGAGUCUCUAGUGGUGUGGGAUGAGCUCGCGGCCUAUCAGCUGGUUGGUGGGGUAAUGGCCUACCAAGGCGGCGACGGGUAGCCGGCCUGAGAGGGUGGACGGCCACAUUGGGACUGAGAUACGGCCCAGACUCCUACGGGAGGCAGCAGUGGGGAAUAUUGCACAAUGGGCGGAAGCCUGAUGCAGCGACGCCGCGUGGGGGAUGACGGCCUUCGGGUUGUAAACCCCUUUCGACCGCGAGGAAGCCACCUGGUUGGAAGGGUGGUGACGGUAGUGGUAGAAGAAGCACCGGCUAACUACGUG
rnacentral:rRNA from 1 species